UGGGGAAUAUUGGACAAUGGGCGCAAGCCUGAUCCAGCCAUGCCGCGUGUGUGAAGAAGGCCUUCGGGUUGUAAAGCACUUUUGUCCGGAAAGAAAUCCUGUCGGCUAAUACCCGGCGGGGAUGACGGUACCGGAAGAAUAAGCACCGACUAACUUCGUGCCAGCAGCCGCGGUAAUACGAAGGGUGCAAGCGUUACUCGGAAUUACUGGGCGUAAAGCGUGCGUAGGUGGUUUGUUAAGUCUGAUGUGAAAGCCCUGGGCUCAACCUGGGAACUGCAUUGGAUACUGGCUUACUAGAGUGCGGUAGAGGGUGGCGGAAUUCCCGGUGUAGCAGUGAAAUGCGUAGAUAUCGGGAGGAACAUCCGUGGCGAAGGCGCCACCUGGACAGCACUGACACUGAGGCACGAAAGCGUGGGGAGCAAACAGGAUUAGAUACCCUGGUAGUCCACGCCCUAAACGAUGCGAACUGGAUGUUGGGAGCAACUAGGCUCUCAGUAUCGAAGCUAACGCGUUAAGUUCGCCGCCUGGGAAGUACGGUCGCAAGACUGAAACUUAAACGAAUUGACGGGGUCAUAGCUGUUUCCU
rnacentral:rRNA from 1 species